ACCUAAUGUCACAUAUGCAGUCAAAAACUUAGCUGCACACUAAAGAGAGCAGUUACCUUGUAUACAGGUAAGUUUUCUAACAUUCCCAAUAUAAAAUAAAUGACAUGUUAUAUCGUAUCUCUGUUGUGCCUAGAUUCUUAAUUUCCACAAGUCUUGACUUACUGAAAUAGAAUGAGAGUCAAAUUUUAGGGGGUGAAGUCUGAAAGCUGCAUAGUGUCCAAUAGCCUGUUACAGAGAAGAAUGAUUAUUCAACGUCUCUGCUCCUUAUUGGCUCUGACUUUCACAUAAGAGACCUAAUGCUCUCCUACAGGAACAAAUUUUAUGGAAAAUACCAUGAAUAACUUAGGUCGUUCACACCUUCCUCUUUAUUCAUUAGGAACUUGUAUCCCAGUUUACCUUCUUAUUCUAAAGGAAAAAGCAAAUUUUCAUGGAUAGAGAGAGAAAAGACCCUGGCUUUGACCUCCUGAAAACGGAGUUUUUUCAUAGUAGAACUAUGUUUCAUUGUCUCCCAUUAUUCUUGAAGUGAUUUUUUUAAGAUUUAAGAUAGACUAAAUGCUUCAAAAAAAGAUCUUACCCAAGUAGUGAAUUCAGAUAUUAUUCAGAUUUUGAGCUGUACUUGAAAACUUUCAUAAAUUUCCUGAAGCAAAAUGGGCUUUCCCAAGAAGAACUAUAUUUAUAAAAAUAAUAAAUGAUUUUUUUAAAAAAAUCAGGAAUUUCUACUCAUGUUUCGUGCAUUUUUGCAUUCUCCUUACAAACAUAUUUAACACAGUAGUAGUUAUUGACCGCGAUUUCUAAAAAUGAGCUCAAUGGUUUAUUUCUUAUUGUAUUGGUGAAAUCCACAUGUAAUGGUUUCUGCCUGAGAUUCUUGUAUUUUCAUACACACAAAAAGGUAUUUUGUACUUUUCAUAUUAAGCAAAGUGGUCUACUUAAUCCUGGGACGUUUUCAGAAAUUAUAACAGAUGCAUUCAACGUAAACAUAAAUUCUGUAGGACUCAAACACUUCACAAACAUGUUGAAAAAAUGCUAAAAAAUACUAGAAAAAGUAUGCCUUUUCUAAAAAAAACUUUUGAAAUAUUGUGAAAUGUGAAUCAGAUAUGCAUUUUCCUCUAUGUAAGAUUCUGUGCCGUAUUAGGAACUCUAUCUUCAUGCCAAUGAAGAUUUGUUCUAUAAUUUUUUUUUUAUUUUUUUAUUUAUUUUUUUUGAAAAGCAAAUUUCUGUCUUUCUAAAAUAUUUUAAUACAAUAAGUGCUUGGAGAGACAACAUCAUGUAAUUUUUGUACGCAAAGAUAGGGAGAUUCCAUAUUUGUCUGGUCAGAUCUUAGUUCCACUUGAGCUCCUGAUUUUGUACCUCACUAAGACUACAAGGUUCUUAAGGUUGUGGGUUCCCCCCUCCCACAGAGGAAAUCACUUAAGCUCAAGCUAAACUUUGUUUUCUCGUUUUCAUCUUUUUUCCAUGCAUGUUCCUCAUCUGAGUUUUAGAAUCAUUUCAAUUUGGGAUUAUUUAUGUGCAUCUGCUUCAAGAAGAUAAGAGAGGAGCUCACAAUGUUCACCUAGAACCACGCUGAUGUGGUUCUAACCCUCCUUCUGUCAUACCCAUUGAGUAAAAUUUGGCCUCGGUGCAAUUUACUCAUCUACACAAAGACCAAGGCAAGAGAAGAGAGGUGAUAGCUAUUAUGGUCUUUGUGGAAGUCACAGUAAAUAGCAACAUAUUUGCCAUUUAUAUUUGAGGUACACAUCAGUCACAAACCAAGAACACAACAUCAAGUAAGUGAAAAAGAUCCAUAGUAGUAUUCAGGACAAGAGAAGCACAUUUGAAUUACAGCUAGUCUGCAUAAAAAUAGAGAAAAGCAAAACUAGUAGAAUUCAAUUAGUCUAUUGUGUGAAUUAAAAUUGCCUUGAGAAAACUAUAACUAUAAACUGAAACUAUAAUUUAGCAAAAUUAAUAUUCAUGUAAUCCUGCCAUCCUUUAUGAAAUGCUGAAAUUACUAUUGUUUGAGAAAAUAAAAUGUUAAUCAAUAUCACACCUGUGAAAACUGUACUACUCCCUACUCCCACAUGUAAGAUCAGCCAAAGGCAGCACCUAAAUCUUAAUCCUAGAACAAAAAAAGCAAGAGCUCUGAGGGAACCUGGAGUGGUUGCCUAGGUAACAACAACAAUCUGUGAAUACUGCUGUUAACAGUCAAGGUUCACACAGGCAGUACAACUCUGCAAAGGGAAAAUUCUGAGAAUUUGAAUCUCUACUGAGAAUUCUCACACAACAGACUUUUUGAAAUACUACGUCAUUACUAACAGGUGCGUUUCAACAGGCAGCAAAAACUGCAGCGCUCUAGAUAAACUGAGCUAGCCAUCACACCUUGCGCACAAAUUUUGCAUUGUAAUGAGUGGCUGAUUUUAUAACCCCAUCUUUCACAUCCACCAGUAAAUAAGUACUGAUGAGAGUCUCACAUCGAUACAUUUAUUGUAAGUAUCAAACCUAUUGCACAGAACACAUAAGAAAAUACUGGGAGCAGGUAGUAAUGUUCACUUGUUGUAACAGGUGGAUGGGAUGCGGUACUGACAAAACAUAAUCAAAACAUGUAAUUUUUUCUUAAAAAAAAAAAAAAAAUCAUGCACAUCAUAGUUUUCUGCAGAACAAUUAGGAAUAUCAGGGAACAGUGACACAUUAUUACCUUUUCAGCUCAGAUGUCCUUGGGUUUUGUUUUAAUCAAUGAAUAGUUUUGCUUGUCAAAGGCAAAUUGAAAGCUUGUGAACAAAAAUUGAAUUUGCAAAUUAUCUAACUGCAGCAUCCAAGAGUCAACACUGAAGGAUGAACUUAACAAGUUACCCAAUCAACGUAGCAGAAAGCGUUGUGUGUUUUUUUUUCUUUUCCUCUCCAAGCUGUAUACCGUAUGCUGGACAGCAUUACAGAAAUUUGAUAAACUGAAAUCAUUACUCGCAUCUUUCCUAUCAUCUUUGGCAGUUAGGUAUUUCAGAUCACGGAUAUCAGUACCUAAAGGAAUAUUUAUAUUUUGACUCUAUAGGCAAUGAAGACCUGUGUAACGUUACAGCUGCAGUGAGCGGUCCCUGAGCAGCAGGGACACAUGUUAUCUUGGCUGUGCAGGAGGAGAGGCCAUUAUGAUAAGGCACAAUCAGCCCUGCCAGCCUCCCUCACAUGUUUACUGUCAUCCUUCUGAGUUUCAUCUCUUCCUAGAAUGUCUGUCACAUUGAGAUGGGCAUUCAGCAAAACUGAGAUCUGAACAAAGCAACAGUCAUAGAAACGUACCACCAAUUCUACAUCUAGAUCGAAAACACAAGGCCAUAAUUUUCAGAGCUCCCACCAGCAGCUGUGCUGACGAGCCCUGGGCUGUGCUGCCCAGACGCAGGUGGCAUUCGGCUGCGUGAAGCUGGGAGCGCUCUCGGGUGGGUGAGCUCCUUCCAGCCCAAGCUCUUCGGGCAUCCCAGCCUCCAUCAGAUGUCUCAGGGAGGCUUACUGCCAUUCGCCCACUGUCUUUUCCGGACAAAAUCAAAGUUUUAGGCUCUGUUGAUAAGGUUUCCUCCCUCACAAAGCAGCUGCCUCCUUCACAGCAGAGAAAUUCUCCUCAGGAAGGUCACGUCUGCUCACAGCUGCCACGCUGGCUGAGGAUCAGAUUUUGUGCAGAGCUUUGUUUUCAUCGCUCUAAAACCUUUUCAUACUUUCCUCUCGUGAGCUCCUUUUUUUUUUUCUAAGAAACUUCUCUAAAUUGAAACUGCAGUGAUUUUUUUUCCUCCCUUCACGGUUUACCAGCUUCACUCCGCAGCAAACAGCACCAUUUUCUGCACCUGACUGCCCCCGUGCGGCCGCUGUAAGAACAAAUGGCGCGCGGGCGGGAAGUGCUGCACCGGAGGGGCGUUAGGCGGAGCGGGAGGCGGCGGCGGCGGCGGGGGAGAUGGUGGGCCGGUGUCUGAGCAGCUCCAGCAAAGUUCCCAUAAAUACUGUAACAGGAGAGCACUCUUAGUAGAUGUUACCUUUUGGAAGGCCUGGCAUCUGACACCCUCCUAUUUUUCUACCUCAACAGGGAAAGCUGAAGUGGAUUGGGAGUCACAAGACAGUGGGUUUUUUUUCCCUGGACACUUUGCCUACAGCAUUAGACUGUGUAGAACCAAGGAAUAUCCUGAGUUGGAUGAGAUCCACAAAGGACCACCCAAAAUUCAAACCAUGCAUCUAAGAGCAGUGUUGGAACACUCCUUGAACUCUGGCAGCUCGGGUUGUGACCACUGCCCUGGGGAGCUUGUUCCAGUGCCAGACCACCUAAGGUGAAGAACCUUUCCCUUAUUUGAUCUGACCUUCCCCUGACAAGAUACCACUGAUAUCUGCUCUCAUCAUCGGCUUAUACCGCUUCAAGAUUCCCUAAUGUUUUCACAUUACAGUUAAAAUCCUUUAAGUUAUCCUGAUGUCCAUCAGUUGUGUGAAAAAAGUUUAUUAAUUUUGUUUUGUUUUGUUUUUACAGAGCACAUUAUUUACUUUCAGUAGUUACUUUUCAGUGAACUAUUGACAUGAUGCAAAUUGCAAAGAGACUGGAUUGGUGUCUUUUCCUUCAAGAUAUGUAAAACACAAUACCAAGAUAGAUGUUCUAGACAGAUACUUGAGGUAAUUAUAAUUGCACUAUCUGAGUGCUAAGAAAUAGCAGUUAUGAAUCCCACAAACACUAGCAGAAUUGUCUCUAGAAAGUAAGCACAUGAAACUGCAUUUAGUUUCCCACCUUCAUGAUCUUCAUGUCACUAUGUCUGGUUGAUAGAUUAUGCUGUCUCGCUGGCUAUCUGCCUGGAGGAAGGAGAAACAAUUCCCCUUGGACUGAGCUUCAGUACUUCUCUUUACAUUGGCUGUCAUGUGGAGUCGAGAACAGACAGUUAUUACCAUCUGCCUAAAAGAUGGCCUGGAACUUGUAUGUGUGUUUGUGCAUGUCAACAGUUUUCCCAUACAUGUGCCUAAAUUUAGUCACUGCAUUCAUUACUGGGCUUUCAAAUAUGUGACCAGAUUUUCAGAAGUACUGACCACUCAGAUAUCUGGUGAUUUUAGUGCAAGCUGUGAUUAUUCAGAAUCUGAACAAAAUCACCCAGUGCAGUUUUCAUUUUAAGUCAAUAGAAAGAUGGGUGUUAAUUUCAUAGGUACUGGGUUGGACUGUAGUCUUUGGCAACUAGUCUGACACUCUCAGCCAGGCACUUGCUUGGUAAUCGUGUGAGUGAGUCUGAUAGUCACAUGAAAACUGCGGUGUCACGUAAUCAAAAAAAGAAUCACAGAACUCCAACUGCCGUUCCUUUAUUGUAUCCUUUAUUUUAUCUGUCUUAUCAUUUAUUUGAAAAUCUUGGGUGUCAUAGCAGUUAACAUCCUUUAAAAAUGAACCUGUCAGAGAAAUUUUCUUUUCCUUCUUCACAAAUAGGAGAAAUCCUACAUCUAUCUGUUAUUACUACAUAUAAGAUCCAGAAUAUUUCAUUUCUUGGGUGGGCAUGUUGUUACAGCUAUCCAUGGAUAGUUGUCUUUAUAACUAAGGCUUAUUAUUAGGAAAACACACUGAAAAGGUCUAAUGUUCAGUAAGAACUUCUGAUUUUCAUUUCCUGCCCUAAUACACUUUGGAAGACACAUAAAAUACAAGGUGACUGAAUUCCUUAUAAAUUAUGUCAUACAGAAACUUUACAUUUCUGUGAAGAGCAAGUUACUCACCUCUGAGCUUCACAGCUCACUUUUAGCCCCUGAGAGUCAGUAGUGCUAGAAUGGACAGACUAUAACUGGUUCACUAAUUGGACUUCAUAUACUGGCUUCCAGCCGUAGAAGUUCCAGGCCUGGGGAAAGAACAUUUUAGUCUACCUUCUAGACACUGCUAUGUAGCCUCUUAGCUGUUCUAAUGUAUGCCAGAGCCUGACAGUAGGGGAUUAAAAAUUUUUCUCUGCUCUGUCCUCUUUUUUUGCCUAAGCACAGCUUCUGUAUACUAAGGCACAGUAUACAGCCUAUUAUACUGCCUUUAACCUUGAAAAUUUUUAUUGCUAUUUUAGUUCUGUUUAGAAAGGCUUUCUUUCUGCCUUGAAAAGUUGAACUCAAGGGAACAAAGGUAGCUUGGUUUUCAGUUGGAAGGCUACAAAAGCAGGUCCACGGUUUUGAUCCUCUGUAGCCCUUUUUUCUUUUUUUGGAAACAAGAUAUAAAGAUUUUGCUGUUCAGAGUCUGGAAUGAUCUGCAGAGCUUUCUUUGCCAGCUGCAGUAAUUCUUAGACACUUAGUCAAUCCUUCCAGAUGUAAAUUCUGUGGCAAUCUAAUUUAAAUCAAGUAGAAACACACUUAGUUCACUAGUACUCGCAAUACUGUUACAAUUCAAAAACAACAUCAAUCUUGCCAAAGAGAGAAAAUGACUGGCAGCUUUCCCUGGUCAAAAUUAGAGGAAUAGCUGUGCAACAGGCAAAGCUGAGAGCACAAGGCAUUUUUCAGCCUCUAGUGGCAUUUUGGCACUUUUCCCUGAUGUAUACUGAAGACAGUACACGCAUCAGUAUACGCGUUGCCUCUUCUACAUUUAAAAGUAUUCCAUUUGCCUUCUUUAUUUAUCUUUUUUCUUUGUUUGUUUUCUGAUUUAAACUACUUCCUGUGAGUUAAACUGAAGCUACAAGAGCUGUCAGAAUUUCAUUAAAUCCCUUCCAAACAUAAACACUGUUAAAGUCCCCUUCCCUACCUCAACACAUACUAUUACUUUGGUUUUGGUUUUACAAUAAGAUGGUGGAGAAAAAUAUUUGGUGAUAAGGGUAAUCACUACAUUGUAGAAUUGCAAUAAACUGUUUUUACUCCUCAGUGAGUCAUGAAAACAAAUCAUGAUUUUUCAUUCAUGAGGCACCUCGUGGCUUAGUAAAUUCUCUUGCUGGUGAUCCCUUUGCUAUGUGCAAGCUGUAUUUUGAUGACAGUAACUAAAGAAGUACUCAAUAUGACGUGUAAUGUUUGUAAGAUGUUCUAGGUUGCUAUGAAUUCAAGCAGCCUCCUUGUUAAAUACAUUUUGUUGCUUCUUCAACUCGUGUUGGCUAAUUUGUAUGUCUCAUGUUACCUUAUUACUCGACAACAGACAUAUUCUAACAUUUAAGUAUACUGUUAAAAACUAGUAAUUAUAAGUAUGCUGCCACUUGGCCUCAUGUAAUUAUCAUCUGUUUUGUUUUCCAGCCAUAGUACAUUUCAUGUCUAUACAUCCAAAUAUUCCAUUGGAGUACAAAAUGAAUACAUAGGAAGCAGACAGGUUAAGACACUGCUUAAUUCUAGUUUCCACAUGGAACUGCUUAUCACAAAGUACUCUUCAUAUCAAUACUGUCUGAGAUCAGGCCUGCCUACCUUUUCUGACAGAUAUUCUUGGUUAUGGAGAGCCUGUUAAUAAUGAUUGAACUACAUGACAUUUCUCUGGAAUUAAUGAUUGACCAGAAGACUCCAGUGGCUCAGUGCUUGGCAGAGGACCAUUCUCUCCAGCAGGCAGUCUUUCCUUAGGAAAUACUCAGAGGUUGCAUGAAGAUUAGUAUUAUUAUUUACAAAAUGAAAUAGUGAAUUUUAAGCAUGAUCAUUGCAAUUGCUCUGUGUUUUAAUUGUUCAGUAUUCUUCAGAUUAAUCUCCACCUCAGUGUUCAGGUUAACAUGUGUUCUCUUUCUUAAUUUUACUUUUUCAAAAUCACUUAUUUACAUAAAAGCUUGCGAGAAUCAGUUCUAA